CUUGUAUGUGGGACCAAAUAGGACAGAAUGUGUGCAAGCAAGUGUGUUAUGCUGCACGUUUGAUAUAAGUUUUUCGCAUAUCUGAGCUCUUACGUUCCCCAAAUGCAUAAUUUUUCAAAGCUUUACGCUUCCUAGCUUCUGUUUUUUUGAAUAACAGUGAAAUGCGGCAUUUGUAUAAAUUGAGAGGAAACCUGGAUGCUUAAUUUUUUUUUUCCUCUACAAAACAAUAAUUGUUAUCCCACAUUAUGUAGUAGAUACUUCAGUUACAAUUUUGGUUCAUAUUUUCAAAUUUGUUACAAUUUCAAACGCAAAAUAUUUGUCUUUACUAGAUUGUUACUUUAUUAUGUAAAUGAUAUAUUCUAAAUUUUUGGCUUGAAAUGCCUUUGUUUUCCACAAUUUUAAAAAUGGCUACAUAAUUUUCCAAUAACUAUACAUACUAUAGUUUCCUUUGCCCAUUGGUUUGUUCCUGAAUGUGUACCUUCUUAUCCUCCAUUGUUUUAUAGACUCGGUAGUAAACUUAUACAAUCUGGUAGCAAAAUUUUAGCCCUGUUAUGGAUAAUAUUUAGUAAAAUACUGAUCCAAGACAAUAUUUCCAAAAUAUUAUCACCAACAAUGUUUGUGUCUUUCCCUUCUUCUGACUUUUCCCUUUGUGAGUAUUUUAUUAACUUGCAUUUCUUUAAUUAGUGGUAAAUUUAAAUUUUGACAUACAAAUAAAUGUAUACUUUGACACAAUUUCUUCCAUUUUCCAAAUUUUGAAGUUUCUGUCUUUUAAAUCCUUCUAGUUCUUUAUGCAUAUGCAAAGUAAGAAUGUAGUCAUGUUUUUCUUACACUCGCCUCGUUUUUAUGUAAAAGAUAGCAUACCAUGUACACUGUUCUGCAUCUUUUUUUUUCACUUCAAGAUCUUCCUGAAUUAGUGUAGAGGGCUUAUUUAUAUUUUUAAACAAUUCUGUUGUUGCCUUCUGAGUUGUUACAUCAUAAGUUAUUUAACCAGUGCCCUGUUGAUGGGCAGUUCAUCUGUUUUGAAUGUUUUCUAUUGUUUCCAAGGGAUGGCAGCAAAAUUCAGAAGGCUUAGACUACCACUGUCCUCCACAAGGUGCUCCAGCAGAUUGUCACCUUAUUCAACACAAGAGGUUGGUUGGAAUGAAACUGGCCUGGAGAAAUUAUUCACUGAAUUUUUAUCAGCAUUGGGAAGUCCUGGAGCCCUGCUUGUUGAAUGAGUUAGGGGUGGAAGGGCUCUCUCAGGCCAUGACAACUCCCUAAUGCUGUGAAGAGCUACUUCCAAGGAAUCAGUCUCUAUCUGGAAAAGAAAGAAGAGAGCCUCUGUACAUGGGAAGUUGGAGCAAGAAAUCAUGAGAUCCUUCUUUUUUUCAUCAAACUUGCAAGUAAGAUUAAUAGCUUAGGAACAGACUUGUGUCUUCAUGAAAUGAUUACUAUAGACACUCUUCAUUAUAUUCCCAUAUGUUUAGUUAUUUUAAAAGACUAUCUUUUCUGCCUGCAUAAUGAAAUGAUUGAAUCAAAUUUGUCACAAUACUUGUUGGUAAUGUCAAGCAACUGUAUGAUAAAGCAUCCAGUUCUUAGGGGCAUUAGCUCACCAUGGAUGAUAUUAUUAAUUUACCCAUGUACUUAAUUAUUGAUUCUACUACAUUUAUUGUAUUCAGUAUUUUUGCUUGUAUGAAAUGUUCACUUUUAACACUGUGC
rnacentral:lncRNA from 10 species